rnacentral:rRNA from 1 species
AUGGAAAGAAGAAUGUUUUCUUGUUUGUACCCUGUCGCGGCUCUUUGGCCACUCGACGGGGCGGCGGUAGCCACUUGGGAGCGCGACGAGGCACGUCGGGCCCUCGUCGGGGCAGUGGCGCUCGCGGUGCUCGUAGCGCCGGAAGUUCUCCGGCCGCAGCUUCUUGACGGCCUUCUCGUUGUCCAGGCACGGGAUGUAGUCGGCGCCGGCCUUGACGUUGCACGUCCGCCACUCGUGCUGCUCCUCGCCGUCCGUGCUGUUGCCGUCGCCCGCGUCUUCCUGCCGCCGGUCCUUCUCCCGGUGCGACUGAUCGCGCUGUGUUGCCCACGCGCUCUGGUCUCCUUCGGCGCCGACGGCCGAGCCCUCGCCUUGCAGCGUAUCGACGACGUUGUGGUUCACCGAGCCGGCGCCGCUGCCGUCCGUGUCCUCCUUGUGCUCGGACUCGGCAGCUGCCUUGUCGUCCCCGCCGCCGUCUUCUUGCCCGGGGUCGGACUCUACCUCCACCAACGUGCGCCCGUCCUCCUCGACCAGCGUUUGAUCGCUGCUACGGUCCUCCUCUGUCUGCUCCUGAUCGGGUCUAUCCUCAUCCGACUGCCGCUCCGCCGCCUCGUCCUCCUGCGCCUCGCGGCGGAGGAUGCCCGUGCCGGGCUGCUCGUCGCCGGCGCUCAUACGCUCCUCCUCGUCGCUCUGCCGCUGCCGCGCGAUGCUCUCCUCCUCGAUGCCGCCGUCCAGGUUCCUCUCCUCCACCGUGGCGCGCGGCAUCUGCAGAUGCGACUGCUGCUCUUCUUCCUGAUCGUUGUCCAGCGUUUCUUGCUCCUUGUCCGCGCCCGUCGCCGCCGUGGCGUCCUCCUCCUCCUCGGCGGUGGCCUCGCUGGCGGCGACGCGGACGCGCUCGUUGCUCUGGUCCUCGUCCACCGCCGCCGCGUCGCUCUUGGAGUCCUCGCCGCCGGAGACACGCUCGUCCAGAUCGGGCUUGGCAUGCGGGUCGUCCACGGCCGCCGCGGCGACGGCGCUGCCGCGCUCCUGAUCGGCGCCGCCAUCCUCCUCGGAGCCAGCGUCCUCCUUGCCCAGCGUCCCGUCCUCGGCCUCGGGCUCGCGCGGCGGCGACGGCGGCGCCUUCUCCCUGGUCACCUCGUACGCGAACGACGAGCGCGUGGUGUGGCGGUACGCCGUGACGGCGGCCGCCUUGUCCCCGUCGUCCGGCCCGGCGAUGGACGCGGACGAGGUCGACGUGAGCAAGUAGGCCCCGGCGACGCAGAGCGCCACGAGCACCCCCGUGGUGGCGUAGUAGACGCACGCCGACGCGGCCGCGGACGACGACGCCGCCCCGCCCCCGCGCUUGCCGGCGGCGCGCGAGCUCCGGCCUCCCACCCCCGCCAUGCCGAUCGGCCGAUGGAUGGGUGGAUCGAUCUAAGCUGGUAG